GGCGUAAAGCGUGGUUAAGGGCCAACUUUUCUACUAAAGCCGAACGCUUUUAGAGCAGUUAUACGCACUGAGAGUAAGAAGAUCAAUUACGAAAGUAGCUUUAUUCAAACCUGACCCCACGAAAGCUAAGGCACAAACUGGGAUUAGAUACCCCACUAUGCUUAGCCUUAAACAUAGACAGUUGUUUACCCACACUGUCCGCCCGGGUACUACGAGCAUUAGCUUGAAACCCAAAGGACUUGGCGGUGCUUUAGACCCACCUAGAGGAGCCUGUCCUAGAACCGAUAAUCCCCGUUCAACCUCACCCUUCCUAGCCUUUAUCAGCCUAUAUACCGCCGUCGUCAGCUUACCCUAUGAAGGUACUAAAGUAAGCAUAAUUGGCACUGCCUAAAACGUCAGGUCGAGGUGUAGCCUAUGGAAGGGGAAGAGAUGGGCUACAUUCCCUACCCCAGGGAACACGAAUGGCACAUUGAAAUGUGUGUAUCUGAAGGAGGAUUUAGUAGUAAGCAGAGAAUAGAGUGUCCUGCUGAAC
rnacentral:rRNA from 1 species